CAGUAGCCGCGGGAAAACGUAGGGUGCAAGCGUUAAUCGGAAUUACUGGGCGUAAAGCGUGCGCAGGCGGUUCCAUAAGACAGAUGUGAAAUCCCCGGGCUCAACCUGGGAACUGCAUUUGUGACUGUAGAGCUGGAGUGCGGCAGAGGGGGAUGGAAUUCCGCGUGUAGCAGUGAAAUGCGUAGAUAUGCGGAGGAACACCGAUGGCGAAGGCAAUCCCCUGGGCCUGCACUGACGCUCAUGCACGAAAGCUAGGGGGGCAAAUGGGAUUAGAUACCCCAGUAGUCCCUGUCUCUUAUAA
rnacentral:rRNA from 1 species